rnacentral:sRNA from 1 species
AUUGUAAACUGGUUCAGAAAUCUCUAGCUCGGAUGUUGCUGAAUGACUUCCUUAAUGACCAGAAUAGAGAUAAAAAUAGUAUCUAUAGUGGCCUGGAAGCCUUUGGGGAUGUUAAAUUAGAAGACACCUACUUUGAUAGAGAUGUGGAGAAGGCAUUUAUGAAGGCUAGCUCUGAACUCUUCAGUCAGAAAACAAAGGCAUCUUUACUUGUAUCAAAUCAAAAUGGAAAUAUGUACACAUCUUCAGUAUAUGGUUCCCUUGCAUCUGUUCUAGCACAGUAAGUAUAAAUUUCACCUACUACUUAACUCCCCUUAUUUGGGAGAUGUUAGAUUUCUAAGACCAAAUCUGGUGUCAAGCAUGUUGGUGGUAGAUCACAGAAAAUUUUAUCUUGAUGCUUUCUAAUCUGCUAUUGUCCAUUGACUUGAAAGAUGUAUGGGUUGAGGCUACUUCCAGAAGUAUUUGUUAAUUUCAUACUGGCUUUCCUGGCUUCUGUUUUCAUGGUUUUUUAAUUCUUGACCUACAGUUGAACCAUAAAUACCUGGUUGAUGAA